AUGUACAAAAGGUGCAUUGACGGAGCUGUGUAACUUAUAGUUUGAAUCUCAUGGUAUUCUAAACCAGAGUCAAUAUUGUUUCAUCUUUACCAGAAUCAUAUCCAAAUUUAAAAUUCUGGUGUCAUGACAACCCAGUUCAGACCAUAAUGUGCACAAAUCCUGCUUUCUAAAGUCGCAGGAUCACAACAUGUAUGUUUAGUGUUAGUUAAACACAAGGCGUUCUCUCCUCCUGAUACAUCUGACCGAACCAAACUCUGUCAUACCUGGAUUCAUUUUGAUGACCUGUCAGAUCAGUACCAGGAUGUCUCUGAUGGACAACAACUAGCAGUGUUCUGUUUUCAGCUGUGGAGCUCGUGUCCAUCUGUCUCGUUGCUUGUGGUUUAACAGUAUUUGAUUCAAACUUCUAUGAAGUGAAGCCCCGUUUCCAAACAGUUGUGUACAAUGUAAAUGGAGUGAGCUGAUUCCAAAUAGCACAAAGACAACUUAUCAGAUGUUGAAACAGAGAUAUUUAAUUGUUUUCAGCGUGUUAUGAGCACUCUGUUUUGUUGAUCCCUUUGUCUUGAAGGGGUUGCCUAAAUUAAUGUUAGGCUUUAUCCCAUCAGUGUAACAAUUUGCUUGAAUUUCUGUGAGUGAGAACUGGAUCAAACAUUUAUUGGAACGCGCUAAAUUGUUCGGUUGUAGUAAAACAAACAUCAAAAGAGAUAAAACAAUGUGGUAUACAUGUGAAUACUACUACACUUUAACAUUACUUUUCAUUUAUGUUCCCAGACCUAACUAACACACAGCCAGUGGUUUUGAACUGCAAUGGCUAAAAAACAACCCCAGCCCCACCUGGCUCAGACACAGUGAGGAUGGCAUGAUAUGUAUGCCAGAAGCACAGCGGCCCCCCCACACAGCUUGCAGCUGGCUGUGUGUGGCAGCCGUCCACAUUUUGUACAGAAUGGCCGUUAUGUCCAUCUUUCAUCCUGUGGCAUUUUAAAGAGGCGGAGGAGAAUGAGCAACACCUCAGAAAAGGGAGAACACUGCAGAGCUGUUGAAGGCUGCUUUAGAAUAAUACAUGAGUGACUGUGCAAGUGAUUAGGCUGUUCUUGUUUUGAUCGGUUGAAUGUAAAUUCUGCUGCCAUUUAAUUACAUGAACGUGAAUUGAACAUCUCCUCUCACUUACAGGUACAUAGGGACAUAAUUUUUGGGGGCCUGACAUAGUGGGAUGCAUUGUUGUAAAAAUCAAAUUCCUGCAUUUAUUUGUCUGCUGGUGAUGCAUCAACAUGUUAUGAUGCCAUAUUGGCUGACAAGAGACUACCUACAAACAAGCUGGAGCGUCACUGGCAAACGAGGUGACUGAAUAUUGGUGAGUUGUUUUAGUUUAGUUUGGGUAUUUGAGUAUUUCGCGGUGAUCUUUUUUUAAAUUAUUUUAGAAAAUUGAUAUGGAAUUGGAAAAAGGCACCAGGAAGCAUUCCCUGACCUGAUAACUGUCAGCUGUGUGGCACGUCGCCUCAGUCUGGCCGUGUCAGAAUGCCUCAUUAAAUGUGCCAGGACAACCGUCUGGUUCUACCAUACAUCCACAAACAGGACCAGCAGUCUCAAAGAAAUGGGAGAAAUCAAACUGCAGGUUAGCAGCAUGCAGUGCAGAUCCUUGAGAUUAAUUUUUUGUUUGAUUUAAUUUGUGAUUUAAUUUUGUUUGAAAAAAAGAAACUGAGUGGUAAACAUGAACCUGUCCCAACUUUCUUUUAAACAUGUAGCUAGCAUCAUAGUCAUAUGGGGAUAUCAUUUUACAAAAACAAUGAUCACAUUUAGUUUUCAUUUUCAUUUUACACAACGUCCCAGUAUUUUAGGAAAUUGGGUUGAAUAUCCUGUUUGUGUUGCCAUGCAUUUGAGUAUAAAAUAAACAAUAAAUACAGAAAAAUAUAUCAAGCUAUAAAAGAGAGGGUAAAGGAAGAUUUACAUAAUGUUUGACAAAAUGCUUCCUCUGUUUCUUUUGGCCCAAUGGGAACGUUCCAGAUACAUAUUUUCCAUGUGACUAUCAUGUUAAUUAUUAGUUCAGAGUCAUGAAAGUGCUCUAUUGAUUUAGUUUGACACUGAGUACUAACACUGUUUGCUCUGUGAGUCCACACAACCCAACCCAACUGAGUUGACUGUAAGCCCACUUACAGCUAACAAACCCUCCAAUCUUUGCACUGUUUCAUGAUGAUGUCAGCACACAAGAGAACUACAGAUUUAAUCAGGACUAAACUCCUGCGAGAAAACUGAUGAACCUUUAACAUUUUUCUAAAGGUUCAUCACUAAAAGCUGAAGAUGUUAUCCUCUGAACAUUAAAUACCAAUCAGCCCAUCCCUCCUGGGUCUUCUGAGAUACUGUUUACAAAAACAAGAUAACACCUAAUUAUGCUCAAUUUAAUGUUUUUAAGUGUUGAAUUUAAUUUAGUUGGCCUUAUAGAAGCAACACUGUAGUUUAUGAAGAGAUAGUUGUACUUAUUUUGACACCUAGAAACUCUAUAUGUUUUUAAUUUUCAACUUAGAUUUCAACUAUGAAAAAAUGCAGCCAAACUCCUGCAGACUGUCUUAAAAUUCUCAAAAAUAUUGGCAACCUUUCCAUACGGGCAGGGUUACUUUUGUGUCCAUGCAGAAAACAAGAGAAAUUUGGCACAUAGCACGGUUGUCACAAUUUUGAUAAUAAUAAAAAAUCAAACAAUAUCAAAACCACA